rnacentral:tRNA from 1 species
UUCCCUGUGGCUCAGUUGGUAGAGCAUGGUGUUUGCAACGUGAGCAUGGUGUGUGCAACGCCAGGGUUGUGGGUUCGAUUCCCACGGGGGGGU